rnacentral:rRNA from 1 species
CCUACGGGGGGCAGCAGUGGGGAAUAUUGCACAAUGGGCGCAAGCCUGAUGCAGCCAUGCCGCGUGUGUGAAGAAGGCCUUCGGGUUGUAAAGCACUUUCAGCGGGGAGGAAGGCGGUGAGGUUAAUAACCUCAUCGAUUGACGUUACCCGCAGAAGAAGCACCGGCUAACUCCGUGCCAGCAGCCGCGGUAAUACGGAGGGUGCAAGCGUUAAUCGGAAUUACUGGGCGUAAAGCGCACGCAGGCGGUCUGUCAAGUCGGAUGUGAAAUCCCCGGGCUCAACCUGGGAACUGCAUUCGAAACUGGCAGGCUAGAGUCCUGUAGAGGGGGGUAGAAUUCCAGGUGUAGCGGUGAAAUGCGUAGAGAUCUGGAGGAAUACCGGUGGCGAAGGCGGCCCCCUGGACAAAGACUGACGCUCAGGUGCGAAAGCGUGGGGAGCAAACAGGAUUAGAUACCCCAGUAGUC